UGGCCUUACUGAUAGACAUAGUACAACUACUCCCCUGUUGUCUUUAUGCUUACUCAUUACGCGCCACCUUCUUUGGUAUUGAUCGCGGGCCCUUCAUCGCCGUAGAUUGGAUCUUUCUCAAACCACUUUACUCCCUUCACCGUCUUCCAAGCAUCCUUCUUCUCCCCAUCUUGGCCUGUACACAUAUCCCAGUUCAUCGCUCCGACCGGAUAACUUCCUACCAUACUAAACCCUCCCUUAUCCUCGAUCAUCGCGUGAGCAACUCCGGAAGGGACUAGCAUGGCAUCCCCCUUCUCCACAUCAAUUUCGGCUCUGCCCUUGUUCCCUUCAUCCCUUGGCCCGCCAAAGCAGAGGGUCCCGGCACCCGCGACGACGACGAGCAGUUCGUGAGUGUUGGAAUGAUAGUGGUGCUGUCGAUACAUCGGGAAUCGCCAUGCGGGUUUAACGACUCCGACGGAGGAAAGAUGUGUCUCCACUUGCUCUGCAGUGAGAGAAGAUGGAUAGGCAGAGUGGUAGAUAAUAAGGGGAUAGCGAUGAAGUGUGGUGUUGGGGAAGUUUUGGUAGGAGGGUAUUUGUUUCUUGGUGACCCGGAGAGUCGAUAAAGGAUUGGGAGUGAGUGGUGACAUGGUAUGUUAGAUGUCCUGUAUGUUGGAAAUCUGUAUCGUUUGAUAGGGUGUUACUAUACAAUAGCACUAGGUUGUUACAAAAUACAAGGACAGCUGGUUGUUUUAUCGCUGAACAAGUUUGCUGUGGGGUGGGGAGCGAGCGAGGAAGAGUGCUUAGUGUGCUUAUAAUAUUAUCUCUUUGACGUCAUGGAUAUUUCUUCG
rnacentral:sRNA from 1 species